rnacentral:rRNA from 1 species
CUACGGGUGGCUGCAGUGGGGAAUAUUGCACAAUGGGCGCAAGCCUGAUGCAGCCAUGCCGCGUGUGUGAAGAAGGCCUUCGGGUUGUAAAGCACUUUCAGCGGGGAGGAAGGCGUUAAGGUUAAUAACCUUGGCGAUUGACGUUACCCGCAGAAGAAGCACCGGCUAACUCCGUGCCAGCAGCCGCGGUAAUACGGAGGGUGCAAGCGUUAAUCGGAAUUACUGGGCGUAAAGCGCACGCAGGCGGUCUGUCAAGUCGGAUGUGAAAUCCCCGGGCUCAACCUGGGAACUGCAUUCGAAACUGGCAGGCUAGAGUCUUGUAGAGGGGGGUAGGAUUCCAGGUGUAGCGGUGAAAUGCGUAGAGAUCUGGAGGAAUACCGGUGGCGAAGGCGGCCCCCUGGACAAAGACUGACGCUCAGGUGCGAAAGCGUGGGGAGCAAACAGGAUUAGAUACCCUAGUAGUC